UUGAUGGAUUGACGUUAUGGCAACAAUGUGAUGUUCUAGAAGAUGCAUGGAUGGCUUUUAUAGCAGAAAAUGAAUGAGGAAAAAAAAGCAGCACUGGUACAUCCAUCAUCAGACAAAGAGCUUGCAUGCAGAUGAUGCAACACUGUGCAAUAGAGCCUCAGCUGAUCCAGGGAUUUGAAGCUGACCCCAACCUACUUUCAGCUUACCUCAGCUCUCCCAACACCCUGCUUCUCUUUUGUUCUGUUCUGAUUUCUGUACCUCCCUCUAUCUCCCCCUCUUUCACCUCCUCAUCCCACACCUCUCACCUCUUUUCCUCAGGAAAACAGAGAGGGAACGAGUGAAAUGAACAAAAUCAAUAUUCACAGGCUGUUACCUCACAGAUGGAAAGAUGUUACCAGAGCUUGCAUGGUCUCCAGUGGUAGAUUAAACCCACUGAGGCUCAACAGGACUAAAUAUAAAAGUAGGAUUUGUUCACAAGAGGAGGUGUGGUAAGAUAAAGACAAUAGCUUCAACAAAACUAACCAGUCAGCUUCCUGUUUACGAUGCAAGUGGACGAGGGUCAACAGUAUUGUGGACACACGUCAGUUAAAUGUGGAGCUUCAAAAGUCACGCUCUUCUUGAUUCCCGUGGCAAUGCUGCUAUCAUCUGCAGGCAUGGACCAGUCCCCAUCCAUCGGCUUUGUCCUGCUUGACUUAUCCAAACACGGUGGUGGAAAACUCUUCUUCUUGCCAUCCCUGGUGACAGCUGGGCAAACAUUGACCCAUCUUUCCGCCCUUUUCCCUGUGACCCGGCUGCCGUCCACACUGGGCCCGAUGUGUCUGCGGUUGGGCUGCUGGGAUCCCAGACGCGUAAGACUUACUGCAAACAGGAGGGUCAAACACAGAUCCUACAGAGGGGUCAAGGAUAUGGUUGGUGAAAAUGUAUGGCUAUGUAAAAGAGUGGAAACUGAGCAAGCAGCACAGAGAAAAAGGAGGAACGAAAGAAUGGGAACAAAAGUGUGCAUAGAAAAUGAGAGUGUGAAAUGGAAGCAGGUGAAACUGAUAAAAGAGAAAUUGAAAGUGAAGAAAAUGAAGAUGGUUUAUAGAGAUGGACUCUCUGUCUGUUGCAAUUUUAAUUUAAAUGCUGGAUUGAUCUUACAAUACAAAUUAUAUUACUUCCUGAGCAAAUAUGUGUAGAAGAAAACCGAAUACGAAGAUAUUGGCAUUGGAUUUUAACGUGCAAUAAGUCCUACACGUUAUUAGUCAACAAUUAGAUCAGGUGAGAUCCUGCUUGGUUGAAAUGAAAACUUGCAGCAGCAUUGUCCCUCUGUAAAUAAGAUUGCUUGGAUGGUUUAUUAAAUGAAAUGUUGAACCCCAGUGCCAAUAACUUUCUUAUUAACUUUUCAUCUGCACACAUUUGCUGCGGCACUAAUGUAAUUUGUAAUGUACGGCUAGGUUUCCACUAUAGUGUUAGUGCUUUUUGAUUCUGACCUACAUCUUGUAUAGUAUUGUUACUCAAUUUGGCUUCUUUUGGCUUGGGAAACAUUGCUCUAAGAGAACUUUCAAAAUAUCAGAAUUGCUUUAGAACUACAUAACAUUUUAUUACUAUGAACAGUUUGUAUAAAGACAUAGUGAUGUGCACAAUACAUGAGCCAUCAAGACUCAAACACUAUGCAGUCUUUUACCUAUAGAAACUCAUAGGAGUGGAACUUAAAAAAAAUGGCUGUUGACUUCAGAAUAGGUGGCCACCAGUGAGCGGCUCUGGUGAUAAGAGUACCAAGAAUUUCGUUUUUUUACAUUGCAAAGAACCUUACCUGGUGCCUCAAUUCCAGCUCCUUGGCCAGAGAUGCACAACACUGGCUCUACUACCUCCUGCAGAGAAUGAGAAAUGCAAAAUUUCCAACUUAUUGUGCUAUACAGAGACUGUAGAGAGCAUCUUUAGCAGCUUCAUCUUUGGUUGGUUUUGGAUAGUAGAUAGUAAGGAAAGGUGAGAACAGUUGUUUUUACUGUUAUACUAAAUCUCAUUUUGUCCAGUGAUGAUCAGGAAUAUCUU